rnacentral:rRNA from 1 species
UCCACGGAGAGUUUGAUCCUGGCUCAGAACGAACGCUGGCGGCGUGGAUAAGGCAUGCAAGUCGAGCGCGAACGUUCCCUUCGGGGAAUUAGUAGAGCGGCAAACGGGUGAGUAACACGUGAGUAACGCACCCUAUGGUGGGGGACAACCGCGGGAAACCGCGGCUAAUACCGCAUAAUGUCGUUUUGUCGCAUGGCAGAACGACCAAAGGGGGGGAUCUUCGGACCUCUCGCCAAAGGAGCGGCUCGCGCCCAAUUAGCUUGUUGGUGGGGUAACGGCCUACCAAGGCUACGAUUGGUAGCCGGUCUGAGAGGAUGACUGGCCACACUGGGAUUGAGAUACGGCCCAGACUCCUACGGGAGGCAGCAGUCUAGAAGCUUCGUCAAUGGGCGAAAGCCUGAACGAGCGACGCCGCGUGCAGGACGACGGUCUUCGGAUUGUAAACUGCUUUCGACAGGGAUGAAUGAUAUGGAGGCCAAUAACUUCUGUAUUUGACAGUACCUGGAGAAGAAGCCCUGGCUAACUCCGUGCCAGCAGCCGCGGUAAUACGGAGAGGGCAAGCGUUGUUCGGAUUUAUUGGGCGUAAAGCGCGUGCAGGCGGCUUAGUAAGUCAGAUGUUAAAGACCCACGGCUCACCCGGGGGAAUGCGUCCGAUACUGC